CUUAUAACAUAACGGAGGCCUACAGAAAGGCCACAGCAAGGGAGCGCCCGGACCCCGGAAUCGACCGGUUCGAGGGUCACCAGGCUCACUGUCAAGUCCCUGCAGAGUAACACCUCCCCCUGUAGGAUCAGGCCAGGACUUCAACUUGGAAACCUCAAAUGCCUGGCUGCAGCUCGAGGAGUCUUCUGAGUUCCUCACAGUUACACCUAAAGACAGAAAUUGAGCAGUAGAGGUGAUCUUCUUACAACCCAGAGGAAUGAUCAGAUGGUGCAACAAGGAGAAAGGGAAAGGAUGAGAUGAGACGAAGGCCAAGU